GUGGGGAUGACGUCAAGUCAUCAUGGCCCUUACGACCAGGGCUACACACGUGCUACAAUGGCGCAUACAAAGAGAAGCGACCUCGCGAGAGCAAGCGGACCUCAUAAAGUGCGUCGUAGUCCGGAUUGGAGUCUGCAACUCGACUCCAUGAAGUCGGAAUCGCUAGUAAUCGUGGAUCAGAAUGCCACGGUGAAUACGUUCCCGGGCCUUGUACACACCGCCCGUCACACCAUGGGAGUGGGUUGCAAAAGAAGUAGGUAGCUUAACCUUCGGGAGGGCGCUUACCACUUUGUGAUUCAUGACUGGGGUGAAGUCGUAACAAGGUAACCGUAGGGGAACCUGCGGUUGGAUCACCUCCUUACCUUAAAGAAGC
rnacentral:rRNA from 2 species